rnacentral:rRNA from 1 species
ACAUCAGUCGCCACGGUAAUACGGAGGAUCCGAGCGUUAUCCGGAUUUAUUGGGUUUAAAGGGUGCGUAGGCGGCUCAUUAAGUCAGGGGUGAAAGACGGUAGCUUAACUAUCGCAGUGCCUUUGAUACUGAUGAGCUUGAAUACACUUGAGGUAGGCGGAAUGUGACAAGUAGCGGUGAAAUGCAUAGAUAUGUCACAGAACACCAAUUGCGAAGGCAGCUUACUAAAGUGAGAUUGACGCUGAGGCACGAAAGCGUGGGGAUCAAACAGGAUUAGAUACCCCCGUAGUCCCUGUCUCUUAUAA